rnacentral:rRNA from 1 species
GAGUGAACGCUGGCGGUAGGCCUAACCCAUGCAAGUCGAACGGCAGCACAGUAAGAGCUUGCUCUUACGGGUGGCGAGUGGCGGACGGGUGAGGAAUACAUCGGAAUCUACUUUUUCGUGGGGGAUAACGUAGGGAAACUUACGCUAAUACCGCAUACGACCUACGGGUGAAAGCAGGGGAUCUUCGGACCUUGCGCGAUUGAAUGAGCCGAUGUCGGAUUAGCUAGUUGGCGGGGUAAAGGCCCACCAAGGCGACGAUCCGUAGCUGGUCUGAGAGGAUGAUCAGCCACACUGGAACUGAGACACGGUCCAGACUCCUACGGGAGGCAGCAGUGGGGAAUAUUGGACAAUGGGCGCAAGCCUGAUCCAGCCAUACCGCGUGGGUGAAGAAGGCCUUCGGGUUGUAAAGCCCUUUUGUUGGGAAAGAAAAGCAGCAGGUUAAUACCCCGCUGUUCUGACGGUACCCAAAGAAUAAGCACCGGCUAACUUCAUG